GCUGUGAAUGGGGUUUGUGGGCUGGCUUGAGAAAUGAGUUGUCAUUACAUCAUUUUAUGGUGAAAAGCUUCCCCACUUCAGGGCACUUGGUACCAGGGUUUUGUGGGCCACGCCUCCUCCUGCAGGUGUAGUCCCGCCCCAUGGGGGAGGGAUCGGCAGUGGGGAGUUCUGAGGGUCCAGAAACUCCGCACGGACUGCACGAGGUGGGUCAGGUCGCUCUGAGCCUAAGUCACCUCUAAAGGAGGGCAGGCGGGGCUUUGGGGAUCUCUCUGCCACAGUGACUCGCGAGCCUGCCGGUUCUUCUAGGUUGCCAGUUCCCGGGAAGGCAGUUCGGAUCACUGCUCAGUGCAGCCAGAUGGAGGCGGAAGUUUACGUUGCUCCAAGAGGUUGCAUGUGGUUCGUGCUUUCCUCAACAAAUGACUUCCCCUAUUGGAAACUUCAGCAUGAAAAGAAAUGCCUGACUCUGAGGUGAAACGUGAUCCUUCUGUGGCCAUAAACUUUAAACUCAAUUUAUUACGUUGGAGAGGUUUUUGGACAAACCUGUAAGGAAAUUAUAUCACACAAUCAUUGUUUUCUAAAGAAUAGACUACAGGGAAGGAGAAUUGAUCUUACAGCUGCAUUUGAUUUGGUAAAGCAACUAAGAGAAAAAAUAUCCAAGACUCUAAGACCACAACAUGUUUAGCUGUAAAAGUGCUUUUCUGAAGAUCUCACUCUCAUCUGCUAUCUUUUGACUGUCCAAGGCCAAGGCAUUUGCAGAUCAUAUAUGUACUGUUUCCAAAGUGGAUAUGUGGACUCACUAGAAUGCUAAGACCAAAAGUAAAUGGUUUACUAUAAAAGACACAUUUUACAGUCAUGAACAAUCUGGUUUGGGAAAGAAAACUCUACAAACAUACAUGCUGGAAUUAAAUUUCACGACUCCAUGAAGGCAGGGAAAGGGUAAAAUUUUAAGGUUGGAAAGGAUCAUCCAGUUAAAAUCUCUUAUUGAUACACAAAGAACCUGAAAUCCAGAGAAGUUAGUGAUUUACACAAGGUCACCCACUUAGGUUGUGUCCUGGCUGAGUCUAGUUCUCAGAACCAUGGUCCCCAAACCCCCUUCUUUAAUACCACUGUGAUUUCUUAAGGCAGCAUCAAAUUUCUGGUCCGGGUUACAGCAUUAACAUCCCCAACUGUAAUGUGUCCUAAGACUGUUAACGACACUGAUUAAGUGUUCCAUAUAGAUGAUGUGUCAGUGACGCUUCCUGAUUUUGAUGGAGUUCAGUAUAUUAUUAGUAACAGAGGAAGAGGUGUGUGUGUGUGUGUGUGUGUGUGUGUGUGUGUGUGUGUGUCUAUAACUACUUUGGGGAUCUCUCUCUCCCUCCCUCUCUCUCUGUUUCAGAAAGGGAAUUUGAGUAACCAUGGCUUUUCCAGCCCACCAGGAAAUGACUGAAACUUAACCAGAUAAAUCAAAGAUGCUGUGAUUUGGCCAAUCAUUAUUUUGUCUGAUGUACAUCUGAACCAUAGUACUGAGUUCUCAGGGUUUAUAAGACUUACAUCAUGGAACAAGUCACAUGAAAAGAUCACACAUUCCUGUGGCCUCUGCAUAAGGGGUUGGGGGUGGGAAAGAUGCAUGGUGGGAGAAGUGAUUAUAUGUUGCCUGGAAGUUUGUCUAUAGCACAGAUAGAGCAUGUGUGAUAGAGCACCUGGUCAAA